CCUUUUGUGUUUGCCCAGGGAGGAGGCCAAGGAGAUGUGGGAAAAGAGAGAGGCAGAGUGGGCCCGAGAGCGCAGCGCACGGGACAGACUGAUGAGCGAGGUUCUGACAGGGAGACAACAGCAAAUACAAGAGAAGAUUGAGCAGAACCGACGGGCACAAGAGGAAUCCCUGAAACACAGGGAGCAACUUAUUCGAAAUCUUGAGGCGGCGAGAGAGUCGGCUCGUCGUGAGAAAGAGGAGAAUGAAGAGCUGAAAUCGGCCAGGAAGCAGGAGCUGGAAGCCCAGGUUGCGGAGCGCCGGCUGCAGGCAUGGGAAGCAGACCAGCAGGAGAAGGAGGAAGAGGAGGAGGCCCGGCGGGUGGAGCAGCUCUCAGAUGCCCUGCUGCAGCAGGAAGCGGAGACUAUGGCCGAGCAGGGCUACCGGCCUAAGCCUUACGGACAUCCAAAAAUUGCUUGGAACUGACUUCAUGGGUACCAUAAGUACAGAGAACAAGGGAUGCUGAGGCUUCUGAUCCCAGCCGCCAGGCAGUUUUACAGGGCUCUGUUACAGUCAGUGCCCGGGGCACUGUCAGAUGGCUCA
rnacentral:sRNA from 1 species